UCAGGAUGAACGCUGGCGGUGUGCCUUAAGCAUGCAAGUCGAGCGGCCCGCAAGGGCAGCGGCGGACGGGUGAGUAAUGUGUAGGAAUCUACCUCAAAGUGGGGAAUAGCUCGCCGAAAGGCGGGGUAAUACCGCAUGUGAUCGCAAGAUCAAAGCCGCAAGGCGCUUUGAGAGGAGCCUACAUCCUAUCAGGUAGUUGGCGGGGUAAUAGCCCACCAAGCCGAAGACGGGUAGCCGGUGUGAGAGCACGACCGGCCACAAGGUCACUGAGACACGGGACCUACACCUACGGGUGGCAGCAACUGGGAAUCUUGCGCAAUGGGCGAAAGCCUGACGCAGCGACACCGCGUGUGGGAAGACAGCCUUCGGGUUGUAAACCACUGUGGCGAGGGAUGAAUUUUGACCGUACCUCGCUAGAAAGCACCUGCUAACUACGUGCCAGAAGCCUCGGUAAUACGUAGGGUGCCAGCGUUAUCCGGAUUUACUGGGCGUAAAGCGUCCGUCGGCGUCUGAUUAAGUCUUUUGUUUAAGCCUGGGGCUCAACUCCAGAAAAGCAGCAGAUACUGAUCAGAUUGAGUCUGUUUGGGGGAACUAGAAUUCUCGGUGGAGGGGUGAAAUCCGUAGAUAUCGAGAGGAAUACCAGUCGCGAAGGCGGGUUCCUAAAACAGUACUGACGCUCAGGGACGAAAGUCUGGGUAGCAAAAGGGAUUAGAGACCCCUGUAGUCCAGACCGUAAACUUUCCUCACUAGCUGGCUGCUUUGUUAAGAAUAUUUCCAAAUUUUCUAGAGUAUAGUAACGUCAAGUUACUGUUAUCUGAAAAUUAAGGACUUGGUUUGAUCAAGGGUAUUAAAAAUACUUUUGGUCAGAUCUUUUUCUCCAUCUCGCAGAACAUUGAUAAUGUUCGAGAGGAGGAAAAAAGUCUGUCGAAAGUAUUUUUAACUAAGUGGCCGGCGUAAGCUAACGCGUUAAGUGAGGCGCCUGGGAAGUACGGCCGCAAGGCUAAAACUCAAAGGAAUUGACGGGGGAGCGCACAACCGGUGGAGCAUGUGGUUUAAUUCGAUACAAAGCGAAAAACCUUACCUAGGUUUGACAUGUACCUGCACGGGCUAGGAAACUAGCUCUUCUUCGAGAGUGGUACACAGGUGAUGCAUGGCUGUCGUCAGCUCGUGUCGUGAGACGUCCGCUUAAGUGCGGUAACGAGCGCAACCCUUAUCAUCAGUUACAAGUGUCUGGUGAGACUGCCCUGGCUUUGCCAGGGAGGAAGGAGAGGACGACGUCAAGUCAGCACGUCCCUUACAUCUAGGGCUACACACAUCCUACAAUGGAGCCGACAACAGGUUUUGCAAUACCGCAAGGUGGAGCCAAUCCUUAAACGGCCCCUCAGUUCAGAUUGAGGGCUGCAACCCGCCCUCAUGAAGUUGGAAUCGGUAGUAAUCGCAAAUCAGCAGGUUGCGGUGAAUACGUUCUCG
rnacentral:rRNA from 1 species